UUACUAUACAGCGGAAAGGAGCAGCCAAGCAUACUAGGACUCAAUUUCUUGACUUUAAGAAAGCUGACUUCAUAAAACUUAGGGAAGUGCUGGGUGAGAUCCCAUGGACAGUAAUACUAAAAGGAAAGGGAGUUCAUGAUGGCUGGGAGUUUGUUAAGAGGGAGAUACUAAAAGCACAACGUCAGGCAAUACCAAUGAGACAGAAACAUGGAAGGUGCCUAAAGAAGCCAGGGUGGCUAUGUAAAGAACUUUUAACUGAGUUAAGAUUAAAAAAGGAUGUGUACAAAAAAUGGAAAAGGGGGGAAACCACCAAAGAGGAAUUCAAACAAAUAGCCAGCACGUGUAGACACAAAGUCAGAAAAGCUAAAGCACAGAAUGAACUCAGGCUUGCUAGAGAGGUUAAAAGCAACAAAAAAGGCUUUUAUGGGUAUGUCCGUAGCAAAAGGAAGAACAAAGAAACAGUGGGGUCACUCAGAGGAGAAGAUGGUGAAAUGCAAACAGGGGACACAGAAAGGGCUGAACUCCUCAAUGCCUUCUUUGCCUCAGUCUUCUCCGAUAAAGAAAACAAUGCCCGACCUGAAGAAUUUGGAGCAAAUGAUUCAGCAAAGGAAACACAGCCCAGAAUAACUAAGGACAUAGUACAAGAAUACUUGGCUAGUUUAGAUGUAUUCAAGUCUCAAGGGCCAGAUGAACUGCAUCCAAGAGUAUUAAAAGAACUGGCAGAUGUGAUCUCAGAACCACUGGCAGUCAUCUUUGAGAAUUCCUGGAGAACAGGCGAAGUCCCGGCAGACUGGAGGAGGGCAAAUGUUGUCCCUAUUUUCAAAAAGGGGAAAAGAGAGGACCCAAAUAAUUACCGCCCAGUCAGUCUGACAUCAAUACCAGGGAAGAUUCUGGAGCAGAUCAUUAAGCAAACAGUCUGUGAGCACCUAGAAAGGAAUGCUGUGAUCACCAACAGUCAGCAUGGAUUUCUGAAAAAUAAGUCAUGUCAGACUAACCUGAUCUCGUUUUUGACAGAAUUACAAGCCUGGUAGAUGAAGGGAACGCAGUGGAUGUAGCCUACCUUGAUUUCAGCAAGGCAUUUGACAAGGUGCCCCAUGAUAUUCUUGUAAAGAAGCUGGUAAAAUGCGGUCUUGACUAUGCUACCACUCAGUGGAUUUGUAACUGGCUGACUGACCGAACCCAAAGGGUGCUCAUCAAUGGUUCCUCUUCAUCCUGGAGAAGAGUGACUAGUGGGGUGCCACAGGGUUCUGUCCUGGGCCCGGUCUUAUUCAACAUCUUUAUCAACGACUUGGAUGAUGGACUCAAGAGCAUCCUGAUCAAAUUUGCAGAUGACACCAAAUUGGGAGGGGUGGCUAACACCCCAGAGGACAGGAUCACACUUCAAAACGACCUUGACAGAUUAGAGAACUGGGCCAAAACAAACAAGAUGAAUUUUAACAGGGAGAAAUGUAAAGUAUUGCACUUGGGCAAAAAAAUGAGAGGCACAAAUACAAGAUGGGGACACCUGGCUUGAGAGUAGUACAUGUGAAAAGGAUCUAGGAGUCUUGGUUGACCACAAACUUGACAUGAGCCAACAGUGUGACGCGGCAGCUAAAAAAGCCAAUGCAAUUCUGGGCUGCAUCAAUAGGAGUAUAGCAUCUAGAUCAAGGGAAGUAAUAGUGCCACUGUAUUCUGCUCUGGUCAGACCUCACCUGGAGUACUGUGUCCAGUUCUGGGCACCACAGUUCAAGAAGGACAUUGACAAACUGGAACGUGUCCAGAGGAGGGCAACCAAAAUGGUCAAAGGCCUGGAAACGAUGCCUUAUGAGGAACGGCUAAGAGAGCUGGGCAUGUUUAGCCUGGAGAAGAGGAGGUUAAGGGGUGAUAUGAUAGCCAUGUUCAAAUAUAUAAAAGGAUGUCACAUAGAGGAGGGAGAAAGGUUGUUUUCUGCUGCUCCAGAGAAGCGGACACGGAGCAAUGGAUCCAAACUACAAGAAAGAAGAUUCCACCUAAACAUUAGGAAGAACUUCCUGACAGUAAGAGCUGUUCGACAGUGGAAUUUGCUGCCAAGGAGUGUGGUGGAGUCUCCUUCUUUGGAGGUCUUUAAGCAGAGGCUUGACAACCAUAUGUCAGGAGUGCUCUGAUGGUGUUCCUGCUUGGCAGGGGGUUGGACUCGAUGGCCCUUGUGGUCUCUUCCAACUCUAUGAUUCUAUGAUUCUAUGAUUCUAU